UUUCCCAUAGAAACCACUUCAGCUUCGGCGGCCCUCCAUGGCGGCUUUAUUAAGGGAGCCAUCUGCAGGCUUUCCUGGCUUUCCUGACAAUCUGUCGUGCUGUUCCCCGCUUCCAGUGCAAACACUGUUCAUUGUGUGGGAGGCUCCAGCCGGCCGUCGGGAGGGGACAGCCUUCCCUCCCCGCUCGAGUAGCACAGCUGGGCUCUUUCUCUCCUGUUCUGUGGAUGCUGGCCCUUCACCGGGCAGGUAGGGGCAGAGCCCGAAGCUCGCCGGAUGGGCCUCCCCCGUGCCUCGGAUGCUGUGCGUGGGUCUGGCCCUCAGCGAUGGCACCUAAACUUACCUAAGCCCACAGUGAAAAAUGGCUUUCUCAUCUCAGCUUUGUUUUCUCUGUCAGAUUCCUCACUUGCCCAGAGGCAGGGCCGACCCGUGGUGCCACGAGAACCGGAUUGGAUCUUCCCAAUGCUCCAGGGUCCUGUGAGGGCUGAGUCUUAACACAGUUCCUCCAGGAGGGAGGGGACUCUUGGCUCAGCCCCGAAUUAAUUCAUCUUCUAAAUGGAAAUGUCAAAGCCUGGCAAACAUUCCUGCUAAUGAUUCUGGUGAGGGGGUAUUCACGGGCGGCGAACAGUAGGCCACGUGAAAAUGGAUUUUGCCCGGGAAGCCGGGCUCUGUCUCUCUCAAGGGAGAAACCCUGAUAACCUAAUCUCAAUUCUGCAGCGGUUUCUGGAGGGCCGCCUAAGGAGUGGAAUUUUUUUUUCUUGUCAUUUCAUUAGUUCUGAAUAAGGGAAGGUGAUUCAGCUCCGGGCCCCGAGGGCAGGAAGCAGCAGCAGGGUCGCUUCAGGAGAGGGUUUCCGAGAAAGGGAGUUUCCAGAUCCGAAGAAGUCCGUGAGAAACCAGGAGGGAGGGGUACCGAGUGGCCCAGCCAAGCAGGAGGACACCAGAGGGCCAUCUUCCCUCUGUGCCUGUCAUCCGAGGGGUGCACCGCCUGGUGGAUCCCCAGCGCCCCCAGGUCGCCUCUUGCCCCCUCCCCCCCACUCCAUGGCAGAUGCCGUCUCCACCUUGCCUGGGACGAGCUAGGAAUUCUCCCACAGACCCUGGGAGCCAAGCGCCCCUGACAAGCAGCCUGUCCCCUGGCAAUUACUAACCAGUUGUCUGUAGUUUGGUCAUUUCAAGAAUGUUAGGGACAUGGAAAUACAGUUGAUAAGCUUUCAAGAUUGGUUUUUUCACUAUGAAUAAUGAAUACUCUUAGGCUUCUUCUAAAUUUUCAUGUAUCAAUGGUUCUUUUAUUUAUUAAGUAGUCAAUUUAGAGGAAAUGCAUGUGUGUGGGGGGAGGGGCAGAGGGAGAGAAUCCCAAGGAGGCUCCGCCCUUGCCAGUACCGAGUCCGAGACUCACAAACUGAGAUGGUGACCUGAGCCGAAAUCAAGAGUCAGGUGUUUAACCGCCUGAGCUAUCCAGGUGCCCCAACAUCAUUUUUUAUUAAACAUAAAAAUUUCACCUUUUGGCUGUUGUUAGAGAAUUUAAGCAAUGGGUGGGUGGUUGCAGUAAAUGACCAACCCAAAGAUUCCUUGGUGAAGGAUACUCGUCACGUUUCAGAUCAUAUACUGUUUAUAGCAUGCAGUUAAGUUUUCUAACUUGGGGGGAAGCCGACUUGGCUAUAUACGAAUCCUCAACUAUCCCACCUUUCUUGGUUACGUGCGCCGUGAGAGCAGGGCCGGGUCAGUCUGGCCAUCGGAUUCCCUGCUGAUCCUGGCACAGCUCCUUGCACGAGGCAGGUGGUGACCAACACCUGGUGCGUGGAUGACUCCUUCGGAUGUGGUGCCACACACACGUCCCAGGUAGCCCACUGGCUACCACUUGGAAGGUGCUGGCGGCAGAGGACGUUUUUAUCGCAGGGAGACGAGUCUAUAGAAUCAAGAGGACCCGCCUUGUCCAGACCCCCGACUCAGGUUAACUGAACUAGUGUUCGGCAGUUGACAUGGUAAGAGAAUGCCGGCUUCUGGUUUCCCUGCUCCCAACCAGGUUUCCAAGUCAGCCCAGCCCGGUGUUGGCUAACUGGGCAUCACUGUGCGAGGCAGGCUCCGAGGACCUUUCCCGAGCGCUGUGGCCCGGUGGCUGUGUGAACAUCCAGAAUGAAGCGGGAUGAUCAGGUAUGAAGGUUUGGCUUUUUACUGAAAGGUUAUUUUUCCCACCUGGGACCAUUUCUUCUGGUACCCUCUGUGUGUGCCGUUCCUGUUGUGAGAUCUGGGGAAAGUAAACUGUGCCAGGAGUUGAAAUCUGCCUCUGGAGCCGGUUUUGUGUCAUCCCACUAAGAUGUUUAGCCAUCAGCACCGUGAUUAUGCGUAUUCAUCUCUGUGUCGAUGGGCGGCUCCCUAGGAAGAUCUAUUUUCAGGACCACAUGUUUACAUUGCUGAGGGACAGGAGGUGCAAGAUCAAAGCCCCGUGGCCCAGCAGGGCCUGCCGUGGGGUGGGGAAUGGGGACAGAGUGGAGAAUGCACUUGGCUAAUGACAGAAGUUGCUACGCUCCUUUUUGGGUGUAAUGGAAAUUGCCCAAAGGUUGGAAAAUGAGGGAGCAGCGUCGCCACACAAACAGGUUUAAACUGAACACUAGGGACGGAGGACACACGUGCCUGACUCUGGCCAAAGGCGGCAGGAAGAGCAGGCAGUUACCGGCUGCAGGUGCAGCUGCAGGAUGGUGUAAGGGCCUGGAAGCUUCUCUGCCCUGCGCUCUGGUUAUAGGGGCGGCGGGAGAGGGCACCUGUGCAUGAGAAGGGUCCCUUCACCUUUGUGACUCUCUUCGCAGCCCUGUGCUGUCUUCUCCGGGUCUGAUUGCUUCCUGUGGUUUUUCCUUCUGCUGCUCGAAAUGCUUGCUAUUCGUUUAACCUAGUUCAUCCUUUGUAUUAACGGUGACUAAAUGGUCACUCUGGAGGCCGGAGGACCUGGCUUCCAGCCUUGGCUCAGCCACCUGCUAGUAGUGUGACCUGACUUCUCUGUUCCUCAAGUUGCCUUGUGUGUAGAAUGGAGAGAAUGGAGUUUAGGAUUGUUGGAAGAACUGAAUGAGUUAACACACGGAAAGCACGUGUCAUCUGAGGUGCCAGCUGUUACCGUGGAACAGCAAUUAGGUAUGUGGCGGGACCGGAUUUUAGCCACGGAGCAUUUGUUUUUUGUUUUUGCCCGUUUCCUGUUUUCGUCCUCUGAGAUACAGAAGUAGCACCAGUAAGUUUUUUCUGCCAUAUUUCAGGAUUGGUUAAAAACCACCACCACAAAAACGUGUUGGGUUCAGUAAGCCACGGUCUCCCGAGGAUGUCACCCAGGGAUGCGGAAGUGAAACAAGCUGACGUUUCCAGAGACGGGAAGGAGCACAUGCUGAUCUUGAUGAUUCAGUUACGCUAAUAGGCAAGUAUAUAUGCCUGGCAUUUAUUGAUGCUCUCUGAUAAUUAUGUACAGAACAUACUGAAAAGUGGAUUGCUUGGAAUCUAGGUCUCUUCUUUUGAAGAGAACUCCUUUGAGGUUUUUUUUUUUGAACUGUAAACAAAAGGAAAGAGAUAUACGUGGACAUAUACCUAUACACAUAGAGAUAUACACUGAGUAUUUUCAAUGUGGUGUAUAUCUU